GACAGAGGAUGCAAGCGUUAUCCGGAAUGAUUGGGCGUAAAGCGUCUGUAGGUGGCUUUUUAAGUCCGCCGUCAAAUCCCAGGGCUCAACCCUGGACAGGCGGUGGAAACUACCAAGCUGGAGUACGGUAGGGGCAGAGGGAAUUUCCGGUGGAGCGGUGAAAUGCGUAGAGAUCGGGAGGAACACCAGUAGCGAAGGCGGCACUCUGGGCCGGUACUGACGCUGAGGAGCGAAAGCGUGGGGAGCAAACAGG
rnacentral:rRNA from 1 species